UACGGAGGGUGCAAACGUUGCUCGGAAUCAUUGGGCGUAAAGCGCAUGUAGGCGGUCCAGCAAGUCGGGUGUGAAAGCCCUCGGCUUAACCGAGGAAGUGCAUUCGAAACUACUGGACUUGAGUACUGAAGAGGGUCGCGGAAUUCCCGGUGUAGAGGUGAAAUUCGUAGAUAUCGGGAGGAACACCAGUGGCGAAGGCGGCGACCUGGGCAGAUACUGACGCUGAGAGUGCGAAAAGCGUGGGGAGCAAACAGGG
rnacentral:rRNA from 1 species